GGAGUAUAAGAAACCGUCUCUUAAUUUUUAACUAAAAAAGCUAAGAACCGGUUCUUAAAUAUCUUUUUUAGUUAAAAGUUAAGAGACGAUUUCUUAUAUUCC
rfam:Brassica oleracea var. oleracea cultivar TO1000 chromosome C7, whole genome shotgun sequence